rnacentral:rRNA from 1 species
UACGUAGGGUGCAAGCGUUGUCCGGAAUUAUUGGGCGUAAAGAGCUCGUAGGCGGUUUGUCGCGUCUGCUGUGAAAACUCGGGGCUUACCCCCGGGCCUGCAGUGGGUACGGGCAGACUAGAGUGCGGUAGGGGAGACUGGAAUUCCGGGUGUAGCGGUGGAAUGCGUAGAGAUCCGGAAGAACACCAGUGGCGAAGGCGGCCCGCUGGGCAGUGGCUGACGCUGAAGCGCGACAGCGUGGGGAGCAAACAGG